UACGAAGGGGGCGAGCGUUGUUCGGAAUCACUGGGCGUAAAGAGUGCGUAGGCGGUUAUGAAAGUUAGGAGUGAAAGCCCAGGGCUCAACCUUGGAAUUGCUUUUAAAACUACAUAACUCGAAUUCGGGAGAGGAUAGCGGAAUUGUCAGUGUAGCAGUGAAAUGCGUAGAUAUUGACAGGAACACCAGUGGCGUAAGCGGCUAUCUGGACCGACAUUGACGCUGAGGCACGAAAGCGUGGGGAUCAAACAGG
rnacentral:rRNA from 1 species